CGCUAGACAAAGUAAAAAUUCACCUAGAAUCCAUUGAAACCAAACCUGUAAAAGGUUCAUAGCAUUUGUUGGCGAUGGAAGAGGCGUUUAUGAAAUUCCACCUGCAUGUGCAGCUUGUGAACGAGUCACCUCAGAUGAUCAGGGAUCUUGUUCAACCAUUCAUUUCUAAAGCCGGGAUCCUUCAGACGAUUAUGCAGAGUGUUAGGUGCUGCACACAUCCAGGAACUACUAAAGUGGCAAAGAUGACAGGGUAGCGGCUGGGUGUCACGCCAUCCAUCAGGCACUGACAGGCGUGUGGCCAAGCCUCUGGUGAGGAACGCCAGUGAUCUCUAAACCGCCGAAUGAGAGACGCACGUGGGCCCCGGGGGUGAGGAGGGGCCUC